rnacentral:rRNA from 1 species
GACGAACGCUGGCGGCGUGCCUAAUACAUGCAAGUCGAGCGAACUUGAGGGAGCUUGCUCCCAAAAGUUAGCGGCGGACGGGUGAGUAACACGUGGGCAACCUACCUGUAAGACUGGGAUAACUUCGGGAAACCGGAGCUAAUACCGGAUAACUUCUUUUCUCGCAUGGGGAGAGGUUGAAAGACGGCUUCGGCUGUCACUUACAGAUGGGCCCGCGGCGCAUUAGCUAGUUGGUGAGGUAACGGCUCACCAAGGCGACGAUGCGUAGCCGACCUGAGAGGGUGAUCGGCCACACUGGGACUGAGACACGGCCCAGACUCCUACGGGAGGCAGCAGUAGGGAAUCUUCCGCAAUGGACGAAAGUCUGACGGAGCAACGCCGCGUGAGUGAAGAAGGUCUUCGGAUCGUAAAACUCUGUUAUCAGGGAAGAACAAGUAUCGGAGUAACUGCCGGUACCUUGACGGUACCUGACCAGAAAGCCACGGCUAACUACGUGCCAGCAGCCGCGGUAACAC